GACGAACGCUGGCGGCGUGCUUAACACAUGCAAGUCGAACGGAAAGGCCCUGCUUGCAGGGUACUCGAGUGGCGAACGGGUGAGUAACACGUGGGUGAUCUGCCCUGCACUUCGGGAUAAGCCGGGGAAACUGGGUCUAAUACCGGAUAGGAGCCAUUUUUAGUGUGAUGGUUGGAAAGUUUUUUCGGUGUAGGAUGAGCUCGCGGCCUAUCAGCUUGUUGGUGGGGUAAUGGCCUACCAAGGCGGCGACGGGUAGCCGGCCUGAGAGGGUGGACGGCCACAUUGGGACUGAGAUACGGCCCAGACUCCUACGGGAGGCAGCAGUGGGGAAUAUUGCACAAUGGGCGCAAGCCUGAUGCAGCGACGCCGCGUGGGGGAUGACGGCCUUCGGGUUGUAAACUCCUUUCGCUAGGGACGAAGCUUUUUGUGACGGUACCUAGAUAAGAAGCACCGGCUAACUACGU
rnacentral:rRNA from 1 species